rnacentral:rRNA from 1 species
AUGAAUGCUGGCGGCGUGCCUAAUACAUGCACGUCGAGCGAACAGAUGAGGAGCUUGCUCCUCUGACGUUAGCGGCGGACGGGUGAGUAACACGUGGAUAACCUACCUAUAAGACUGGGAUAACUUCGGGAAACCGGAGCUAAUACCGGAUAAUAUAUUGAACCGCAUGGUUCAAUAGUGAAAGACGGUUUUGCUGUCACUUAUAGAUGGAUCCGCGCCGCAUUAGCUAGUUGGUAAGGUAACGGCUUACCAAGGCAACGAUGCGUAGCCGACCUGAGAGGGUGAUCGGCCACACUGGAACUGAGACACGGUCCAGACUCCUACGGGAGGCAGCAGUAGGGAAUCUUCCGCAAUGGGCGAAAGCUUGACGGAGCAACGCCGCGUGAGUGAUGAAGGUCUUCGGAUCGUAAAACUCUGUUAUUAGGGAAGAACAAAUGUGUAAGUAACUAUGCACGUCUUGACGGUACCUAAUCAGAAAGCCACGGCUAACUACGUG